GCCGUUGUAGCUCAACGCAGAGCGCCGCUUUUGCAGGCGGGUCAACAUUGAUGAUACAUUCCAUGACAGGCAACUGCGACCAAUCACCGCAGCGGGCUGGCGCGGAAUGGUGCCGGUUCGAAUCCGGCCAACGGCU
rnacentral:tRNA from 1 species